rnacentral:rRNA from 1 species
UACGUAGGUGGCAAGCGUUGUUCGGAUUCAUUGGGCGUAAAGGGUGCGUAGGUGGCGCGCUAAGUCAGGUGUGAAAUUUCGGAGCUUAACUCCGAAACUGCAUUUGAUACUGGCGUGCUUGAGGACUGGAGAGGAGACUGGAAUUCAUGGUGUAGCAGUGAAAUGCGUAGAGAUCAUGAGGAAGACCAGUGGCGAAGGCGGGUCUCUGGACAGUUCCUGACACUGAGGCACGAAGGCCAGGGGAGCAAACGGG